rnacentral:snRNA from 1 species
CAGCGGACUGCUCGAGCUGCUU